rnacentral:lncRNA from 1 species
CUGUGACUGUCAUGGUUGGCACUCUGCUAGCUUGAGGGCACAGACUUUUAUCUGUCUGAAUAAUACGAUGCUGCAUGAAAAUAAGCUUGGAGACUUUGUAACCGGAAUGCAGUGAUAGGUGAUAAUAACUUGAGUAAAAAGGGGGGGGGGGGGGGGGGGGGGGAGUCGAUCGCGUUGAGUGUAUGCAUCUAAUCAGGCCGGAGUGUUGGCCUAGGAACGAGUAGCCCAUUCAGAAAUUACACAUCCAUUCUAGGCGGGCUGAAUUGGAUCGUGUUUAUUUCCGUGACCAAAAAUUGUAGCGGGCUAAAAUCAGGCAAGCCAAUAGCAAACCAAUGGGCCGGCAACUGACAUGGGCUGUCCGUGAACUAACUUGCUUCAUUUUUUUUUAGGGCGAUAACAAACUUGCUUGACUGGGUACAAAUUUAGGCGGGCCAGUAUCACUGUAGCCAGGUAAUAAAAAAGAAAAAGAGAAUCCUAAAAAAACAUAAUAGAUGGCGCACAUGGACCACGUGACUAGCGUACAAGCAACCCCGUCGGUGUAUCACCAAUCGUAUCAUCAAAAGAUACGAUGUGUUUAUGCCAUGCUACGUAUAUUCCCAUCACCGACAACAUUCAUAUACUCGAAUACGAUUGUAAGUACAUACGCACAUCGAUGAUCGAUCUGCAGCAGCCGCAACGCGUACCUUGUCUGUUUCAGAAACAACGUGCAACGCGAGGUCGGGAGCGACAGAUCUGCACACUUUGCUAUACAACUAUACAAUCGUCGGAAAAAUAAUUGGAGGUAGUGCGAUAGGUAGAUCUACAUUGAGUUUUCGCCCGUGACGCCACCCUUAGCGAGUCGAUAGCUAAGUGCUCGUCCCAUCCCAACCCAAAUUGUAUAUUUCUAAAUUUAUAUCUUAUAUUAUAUAUUCAGAUAUAAAUGUAUAUCCUAUGAAUAGUAAAUAACCUAUAAAUACUAAAACGACCUACAAUUUGGGAUAAAGGGAGUAGCUAGUAUUUCCAAAAUUAGUACUCCCUUCAUCUCAAAAUACAUGUCAAACACUUUUAGAUUUGACCAACACUAUCUCUAGAAAUAAUUUAUUUUAAAUAGAAAAAUUUACAAAUUAUAAUAAUUGGUUUGACGAUAAAUCUACUAACAUCAUUUUUAUAUUAUUAGUAUCUAUGAUUAUUUUAUUUGAGACGAAUGGAGUACUCUCUUUUUUGAGGUGUCUUAGGUUUUCUCUAAAUCAAACUUUACAAUUUUUUACCAACAAUAAUUAGUCAAGUUGUAUGACUUCUCAGUGGAUAAAAUUAACAUGUGUAGACUCGUAUUUGAAUAUGUUUUAAAUGCGAGAAAUCGAUUGUCAAAAUAUAUUUUCUAAGACUUUUUCAAAUCCUAAUAUGCAUACUUGAGAGAAAACAGAAACGUUUUGAGUUUUUGACAACGCACCCAUCUCAUUUAGCCUAAAGACUAGCUAAUAGCUAUGCAUGCAGGUGUACGUGGUUGAGUGGAGUUGAACCUAACAAAUGUACCUUUAGUAAGUAGGCAAGUAGCGGCUUCGGAGAACUUUGAGCAUCAACCCAGGGAUAAUCAACAAGAGCCUGAUCCGCAACGAAGGCGUAGCAACUUAUCUCGAAGUGCAUUACAGCUUCGCCAACUACAAGAUGCCAAGAUCAUAGCGUCAUUGCUGUCCAUUUUGAUGCGACGAUGCGAUGUAUCCCGAACUAUAUUGCUGAUGAUCGAUGAGCGCAGUAUACUUAUAUGACGACAAUGAGU